UACAUUUAGAAAUAUCCUUUGUUUUGACGCGAUAAAAGGGUGUGGACUGAUUUUGAUAGAGGUUUGCUGUUGUUUUCACGCGAUAGAAGGGAGUGGAUUUAGCUCUUUCCAAUCUUCGAUCUGUCGAUAAAAGGUGAUGUAGAACUAAACCAAUCGUGCUUGGGUCUUGAAGAUAAUCGUGAUAGAUCAACCAGAUAUGGAUGGUUGAUUGGAACGGGGCCGUAACUUCUUUUACAUUGUUGUUUCUGCAAAUAGCUGAAGUUCAGACAAAGCAUAUAUGGUCUUUUUGGUUCUUUGCUGCGAAAUAAUCGACCCAAUUUCAGGUGGAGAGAUUCCUCUUGAGAUCGGAAAGAUGGGCAGCUUAGAAGAGGUUCAGAAAUUUGAUGAGAUCGCAAAACAACCUAUGUCAGAAGGUGAUAAUAGCAAAGUCUACUAACCCCAAAUUAUCAUUCAUGACAUCUCAGACAAGCUCAACUUAUAUAUAUCACAUAAGCAAUUGAAGAAUGAACGAGAAAGCCAUGGAUUGAAGAGUGAUUACUAUUUGCUGGCAUUGAACUUUUCUCUCAAAGAAUGAGCUUUUCCUCUGUAAAUGGGAUUAGUAGAAAGCUGGAAAAUACAUACAGAAGUCAGGACAAAGUUGCACUUCAUGAAAGCUUCAACCAAGAUGAAUGAAAAAGUAAUCUGCUUUCCAAGUUUUUUAUUACUUAGUUUUCCAAAAACAGUUUCACACUUUUAGAGAAGCUUAAAUUGUUUUGAUUUAAACUUUGCUUAACUGUUCUCUUUACCACAAAUUAUGGCAUUCAAUUUCAAUGAGAAGCCUCCAAAUAGUGUUCAACUCUUCUAGAAUUAAAGUUGACAUUUUUGGAUAAAAUUCGGUGAUGAAUCUUUUACUUCACACUCAGUGAUUCCUUUAUCUUCAUCAUUUUUCUCAAUUUUAGUUGCUCUAUGUUUCCCCUAUCUCGCAAAAUUUUCUAACCAAAGUUGAUUGCUGUCUUUCCUAAUUCUUCUCUGACCCUCCUGAUUAUAAGACUGGUUUUCAACACAAGGCCAUAGAGAAGUUACCUUCUUUCACUAAAUUUCAUUAUGGAUUGUUCAUUUAUGUGACUUAAGAAUCAAUGAAAGAUUAAAAUGGUAUUUUGUUGAAGCCACCAUGUUUUUCACUUUAGGCUUCCACCUUUUUUAACACUACACAGAAAAUAUAUAUAUAUAUAUAUAUAUAUCUAAUAUUCCACACUUAAAAACAAGGCAAAUAAAAGACCAAUUAUUGAUACCCUCUUUUUACUUGGAGAGAAUCUCUCAUGCACCCAAAUUUUUUGGAUAAUACAUAACCUAUAAAUCAUUUUAUAAUCAAAUACGUAAUGGCCCCUUUAAGCUUAAGCACAAACUAUGCAGCUUUUGAGGUUGAACUAUCGUUAAAAUUCACUUAUUAAAUUGAUCAAUAGAAAGAUAUUAUAAUACCUAGAUUUGCUAUUUUUGGGGUUUUAGUAAUGUUGUUUGAAUACUGAGCCAUGUUUAAAUUUGACGACCUGUUAUUAUUGAUGUCAUAGAGAUUCUUUUUAUGGCUACUGAUCAAAUUGAUAAUAUUAGCUGUUGGAGAUCCUGUAAUCACUUUGAUACCUUCCAUGCUCUUUUUAAUAGAAGUGCCUAAUAUUACCUGUUUUCUCUUGCUUAGUGCUAUAAUGAGAUCAAUUGUAAUUUCAUAAAGAGUGAAACCAUUUGUUGCUUUUUUCUGCAUCUAUAAUACUUUCCUAUUAGCUGCUAAUCAAUUUCAAUAACUUAUAAUGUUUUUUUUUUUGUUUCAUUUACUUAUGAACAUUAUUUACCAUAUUGUUUGUUUGUUUGAAUGGAAUUUCUGGUAUUAUAGUGUAGCAGGUGGUUUGUGACACUUGAUAAAGAAGAUAAUAUAUUAAGUAGAGAACUAUUUGAAGUUGUUUAUAAAGGAAAUUGCAUGAUGGGACCGAAAUUGCUAUUAAUAGGAUGGAAUCUGUGGCAGUGGGUACUAAGGAAUUAGAAAUUGCAGUCCUCAGUAAGGUUAAGCAUAGGCAUUUGGUUGCUCUGUAAGGAUAUUGCAUUAAUGGUAAUGAGAGUAUCUGAAACAUCAUUUCAAUGCAAUUAUAUGUAGUAUAUAAUUUGACUAAUUGUAUAUAUUAUGUCCAUUAGAAAUUAGUGGUUUUUGGCUUCAGUGGUUUUUGGCUUUUCUCUGAGGAAUAAUACAAUAAAGUUUGUUUUUUCGGGCUGUGUCUACUAUUCUACAAUUCAAUCUCAGUUUCCUCAAAUUCUGUUAAAUUGAAAUUUAAAUAAAGUCAAAAUGUAGAGGCAUGUAGCUGUAACUUCACAAAUUCUAAAGCCCAUUCUGGAAUUUGAUCCUCAAUUUCCAUUCAUAAAAAUCUCAAGACUAUUAUUCUUUCAAUUUCUACGUUAUUUGUAUGAUCGAUUUAGUUACUUCCCUGCAUUUUGUCUGCUUAGCGAAAUUCAGUUUUAACAACUAACAUGCUUUAGUGGCCAUUGUCCUUUGAGUUAUUUGGUUGUGUUUUAGUGUUUCAUAUUACUGUUAAAGAGGAGAAUAAUCUCAGUAAUGAUGCAAUAACUAAAGAUAUUAAACAUGUAAAUAUUUCUCAUCAAAUUUUCAGAAAACCUAUUUCCAUAAUUUGCAUGCUGCCAAUUAUAAUACACCUGUUACAUUUUACCUCUAAACUUUUAUUUACAUAUUCCAUACCAUACUUUGGUCAUUUGUUCAAUCAAUAAAAGAUUGAUAUCUUUCUGCUAGACAUAAGAUAGCAUUGCUAUACAUUUCUCUCUUCCUAAUUGUAUUGGUAUUAUUCCUCAUAUACUAUCACUUGAAAGUUGGGAAUGGAACUGAGCUGCGAGUAAAUAUUCAGAUUACAGAACACUUGGAGAUACUCACUUGCAAACACAAAUUACAUAUAUGUAGUUGCUCACUUUAAGUUUUAUAAUCUGUCAUUUGAACAACUGAUCUAAACAUUUGAAUUGGAAGACUAAUAUAUGCAUUUUGUAAAUGUUUCAAUGUCUGUAUGUAGCUGCUGAUCAACUGAAACCAUUGUGUUGAUGACCGAACAUAAUAGGGAGAUAAGAUUUUAGAUCACCAAGCAACUUGCAGCACACGGACAACUCUUUUAAAGAAGAAUCAGAUAGUAGUGUAGUGCCUUAAAGUUACAGGAGGAACAAUAUAGAGAGCUAGAGGCUUUGGAAACAAUUUUGGAGGCAGGAAACUCUCUUAUAUUCUGCAUUACUGUUUGAUACACUAUACCGAUUAAUGUGAUAUAUGAUGUUUCUCAUUUUGAUCAAGAAUCAAUUCACUUCUGUUAUAUCUUUCAUUAUUGCAAAUUGUUAGCAACAAUAAAUCCCGCAGCAAAGCGCGGGGUACCAUUGCUAGUGUGAACUAAUCUUCAACUUAAAGGCAUCAAACUUACCUCUUACCAACUGGAGACUGAGUCAAGAUGAAAAAGAUUUGAGAUUUGUACCUAUCUUAAGUUUGAAUAAACAAAGAAGCUACCAGUGCAAGCUUCCAACGUGAAAAUUGGAGUUUUGUUGCUGCUGUGAUCAUCUUCAAACUGACAAUUUGAAUUUAAAUUGCAUGUUAUCCUUAUCUCCAACCAACCGGUUGAGUUAUCAGCUGCCUAUAAAAAGGCUCAACCUCAAGAGUAAAGAAAAAAAAGACGGGGAUAGCCAGAGGAAGAAAAAAAAAAAGCAGAGAGGCUGGGGGAGAGAAAAAGAAAACAGCAGAGAGUAGCUGGCUGGCAGAGAGAAACACGCAGGGAGAGAUAAAAAAGCAAGGGAGGAGCAGAGAAAGAAAAGGAAGGGAAGAAGACAAGAAUAAUUCGAAGCUAAGAAGAGACCACGAGAAGCUACAAACAUAGAGCAGUGGGAAGUUGAUGGUCUAUCCUCUCUCUCCAAAAGCCCUUGUCGCUUUCAUUCUCGCAAAUCUCACCAAACGGCUUCCAGGCAAGACACAAAGUCGACAUCAAGCCCUCAUUCACAGCCGUAGUGUCACUCCAUGCUCACUUGUUUUUCGAUGCCUAUACUGCGGUGCGUCCUGCGUACAGGUGGCAGAUGUUGGAAUUAAGUGGACUUAACAUUAUCUAAAAGCAUUACGUAAAUGGACAAUUGAUUUAACUAAAUGAAUAACAAGAAAUA